rnacentral:rRNA from 1 species
GACGUAGGGCGCGAGCGUUGUCCGGAUUUAUUGGGCGUAAAGAGCUCGUAGGCGGCUUGUCGCGUCGUCCGUGAAAACCUGGGGCUCAACCCCAGGCUUGCGGUCGAUACGGGCAGGCUAGAGUUCGGUAGGGGAGACUGGAAUUCCUGGUGUAGCGGUGAAAUGCGCAGAUAUCAGGAGGAACACCGGUGGCGAAGGCGGGUCUCUGGGCCGUAACUGACGCUGAGGAGCGAAAGCAUGGGGAGCGAACAGG